rnacentral:rRNA from 1 species
GACGGAGGGUGCAAGCGUUGCUCGGAAUCACUGGGCGUAAAGGGUGCGUAGGCGGUCUCGCAAGUCUGGCGUGAAAUCCCUCGGCUCAACUGAGGAACUGCCUUUGAAACUGUCUGGCUUGAGGCCGGGAGAGGGUAGCGGAAUUCCCAGUGUAGCGGUGAAAUGCGUAGAUAUUGGGAGGAACACCAGUGGCGAAGGCGGCUACCUGGACCGGUUCUGACGCUGAGGCGCGAAAGCGUGGGUAGCAAACAGG